rnacentral:rRNA from 1 species
UACGUAGGGGGCAAGCGUUGUCCGGAAUCAUUGGGCGUAAAGAGCGUGUAGGCGGUUCGGUAAGUCCGCUGUAAAAGUCCAGGCUCAACCCUGGAAAGCCGGUGGAAACUGUCGAACUAGAGUCCGGAAGAGGCGAGUGGAAUUCCUGGUGUAGCGGUGAAAUGCGCAGAUAUCAGGAGGAACACCAAUGGCGAAGGCAGCUCGCUGGGACGGUACUGACGCUGAGACGCGAAAGCGUGGGGAGCAA